rnacentral:rRNA from 1 species
CUACGGAGGGUGCGAGCGUUAAUCGGAAUUACUGGGCGUAAAGCGUACGUAGGCGGUUUGCUAAGUCAGAUGUGAAAGCCCCGGGCUUAACCUGGGAACUGCAUUUGAUACUGGCAGACUAGAGUAUGAUAGAGGGGGGUAGAAUUCCUGGUGUAGCGGUGAAAUGCGUUGAUAUCAGGAGGAAUACCAGUGGCGAAGGCGGCCCCCUGGAUCAAUACUGACGCUGAGGUACGAAAGCGUGGGGAGCGAACAGGAUUAGAAACCCUAGUAGUCC